rnacentral:rRNA from 1 species
AUUCCCCUAGUAACGGCGAGUGAACCGGGAAGAGCUCAAAUUUGAAAUCUGGCGUCCUCAGGGCGUCCGAGUUGUAAUCUAUAGAGGCGUUUUCCGUGCCGGACCGUGUCCAAGUUCCUUGGAACAGGAUAUCAAAGAGGGUGACAAUCCCGUACUUGACACGACGACCGGUGCUCUGUGAUACGUCUUCUACGAGUCGAGUUGUUUGGGAAUGCAGCUCAAAAUGGGUGGUGAGUUCCAUCUAAAGCUAAAUAUUGGCGAGAGACCGAUAGCGAACAAGUACCGUGAGGGAAAGAUGAAAAGCACUUUGGAAAGAGAGUUAAACAGUACGUGAAAUUGUUGAAAGGGAAACGAUUGAAGUCAGUCGUGACCGAGAGGCUCAGCCGGUUCUGCCGGUGUAUUCCCCUCGGUCGGGUCAACAUCAGUUUUGUCCGGUGGAUAAGGGCGGUAGGAAGGUGGCACCCUCGGGUGUGUUAUAGCCUGCCGUCGCAUACAUCGGGUGAGACUGAGGAACGCAGCUCGCCUUUAUGGCCGGGGUUCGCCCACGUCCGAGCUUAGGAUGUUGACAUAAUGGCUUUAAACGAC